rnacentral:rRNA from 1 species
CCUCGGGUGGCAGCAGUGGGGAAUAUUGGACAAUGGGCGAAAGCCUGAUCCAGCCAUGCCGCGUGUGUGAAGAAGGCCUUCGGGUUGUAAAGCACUUUCAGUGGGGAAGAAAGCCUUGGGGCUAAUACCCUCGAGGAAGGACAUCACCCACAGAAGAAGCACCGGCUAACUCCGUGCCAGCAGCCGCGGUAAUACGGAGGGUGCGAGCGUUAAUCGGAAUUACUGGGCGUAAAGCGCGCGUAGGCGGUCUGAUAAGCCGGUUGUGAAAGCCCCGGGCUCAACCUGGGAACGGCAUCCGGAACUGUCAGGCUAGAGUGCAGGAGAGGAAGGUAGAAUUCCCGGUGUAGCGGUGAAAUGCGUAGAGAUCGGGAGGAAUACCAGUGGCGAAGGCGGCCUUCUGGACUGACACUGACGCUGAGGUGCGAAAGCGUGGGUAGCAAACAGGAUUAGAUACCCUUGUAGUC